rnacentral:lncRNA from 1 species
CUCACAUUUUCGUAUUUGUUAGCAAUACCAUCUUUGAUCAUGGCAAUAUCAUAUUUUUCUGAGAUAAGCAGCGAAUUUUAUUCCAUAAAUCCAUUAGGUUCUAUUAAGAUUGCGGAGGUAUGGAAGAACGUUGAACAAGAGGAAAAACUAUAUUUUGGUUAUACCAAAUUUGCACUAAAGUUUCUACAUCGAAUGAGUUUAUUUUUCAACUUGGAUUUAUGGGCAACAUUUUUAACAUUUCCGUGUUCAAGUGAAAGCUGCCUAUCUAAAAUGUGUAACAUAAUCAUAGUAUGUGGUGCUAUUAUUUUAAACUUCUGUCUAUACUUUUUGUUCCUAAUGGUUCCAGGUAUAUAUUUCGUACUAGAAUGUUUCUUAUGUUUACCUGUCAAAAUCGCGGGUCUUAUUAUUUGUAGCGAGA